GUCUACGGCCAUACCACCCUGAAGGUGCCUGAUCUCGUCUGAUCUCGGAAGCUAAGCAGGGUCAGGCCUGGUUAGUAAUUUUUAAAUUUUAAAAUUAAAAAUUAAAAAAAAAAGAAUAUAUGAAAGUGUUCACC
rnacentral:rRNA from 1 species